rnacentral:rRNA from 1 species
GACGAACGCUGGCGGCGUGCUUAACACAUGCAAGUCGAACGGAAAGGCCUUUUCGGAGGUACUCGAGUGGCGAACGGGUGAGUAACACGUGGGUGAUCUGCCCUGCACUCUGGGAUAAGCCUGGGAAACUGGGUCUAAUACCGGAUAGGACCGCACUUUAGUGUGUGUGGUGGAAAGUUUUUUCGGUGUAGGAUGAGCCCGCGGCCUAUCAGCUUGUUGGUGGGGUAAUGGCCUACCAAGGCGGCGACGGGUAGCCGGACUGAGAGGUUGGUCGGCCACAUUGGGACUGAGAUACGGCCAAGACUCCUCCGGGAGGCAGCAGGGGGGAAUAUUGCACAAGGGGCGCAAGCCUGAUGCAGCGACGCCGCGUGGGGGAUGACGGCCUUCGGGUUGUAAACUCCUUUCGCCAGGGACGAAGCGUUUUGUGACGGUACCUGGAGAAGAAGCACCGGCUAACUACGUG